CCAUAAAAUGCUGCAGUUCAUCAUUUUUGCAUCUCCAAUGAUUUUUCUCACCAAGACUCUUCCAGAAGGAGAUUGUUGCUGAUCUCCAGAUCCCCACAUAGGUGAGAAGAUCAUCAACACCUUUCUUAAUGUGAAAACAAAAACAUAUGGGGCUUGGACAUGUGGCAUGGUCUCCUCUUGGAUUAGGUCAAAGUUGGUUCCAAUCCAAAAUAAAGUUGGAGUCCAAUUAGAUUUGGGUUUCAUCAUAAAUCAAGUCCAC
rnacentral:lncRNA from 1 species